AUCCAGCUGAGGAGUCCCAAAUAGGACGAAAUGCGCAUCCUGGAU
rfam:Trichobilharzia regenti genome assembly, scaffold: TRE_scaffold0009422